AGCUCCCUGGCCCUGCUGGUUGAACCAACUGCAACCAAACCUGUGUCGUGGCAAGACGUGCGAAUUCUUCAGUCCCUCAUGUGCCAAGGAGAGCAUAGGCGAGCCCUCAGAUACAUGCAGGUGCAUGGCGGAGGCUUGGGCUCUGCUGCAGGAGCACACCACUCAGUUAAAGGAGGAAGAGCUAUUAAAAGACAUGUAUGACAUCUGUCGGGAGAUGGGACUAGUGGAAGACUUUCUGAGGCUGCCUUUCACAGACUCUGAACAAAACGAUCGUGCUCCUCACUGGAGACAGAGAGCAGUUGCCAGAAAUUCUCUCUCAGCCCAGCAUGGCAAGACCCUUCCUAGAGGUCAGAGGCAGCUGGCUGUAGAGAGAGCCAAGCCUUACCAUCUGCCUUCGUCCGGACCAAGA